UAUAGUCGCUAUACAAACAAU
rnacentral:piRNA from 1 species